rnacentral:rRNA from 1 species
GACCNCAAAUCAGGUAGGAUUACCCCCUGAACUUAAGCAUAUCAAUAAGCGGAGGA